ACCUUCGGGUGAGCGGCGGACGGGUGAGUAACGCGUGGGAACGUGCCCUUUGGUACGGAACAACUGAGGGAAACUUGUGCUAAUACCGGAUAAGCCCUUACGGGGAAAGAUUUAUCGCCGAAAGAUUGGCCCGCGUCUGAUUAGCUAGUUGGUGAGGUAACGGCUCACCAAGGCGACGAUCAGUAGCUGGUCUGAGAGGAUGAUCAGCCACAUUGGGACUGAGACACGGCCCAA
rnacentral:rRNA from 1 species